AUACGUAGGGAGCGAGCGUUGUCCGGAAUUACUGGGUGUAAAGGGAGCGUAGGCGGGACUGCAAGUCAGAUGUGAAAUACCGGGGCUUAACCCCGGAGCUGCAUUUGAAACUGUGGUUCUUGAGUGAAGUAGAGGCGAGCGGAAUUCCUGGUGUAGCGGUGAAAUGCGUAGAUAUCAGGAGGAACACCGGUGGCGAAGGCGGCUUGCUGGGCUUUUACUGACGCUGAGGCUCGAAAGCGUGGGUAGCAAACAGGAUUAGAUACCCUGGUAGUCCACGCUGUAAACGAUGAUUACUAGGUGUGGGGGGACUGACCCCUUCCGUGCCGCAGUUAACACAAUAAGUAAUCCACCUGGGGAGUACGGCCGCAAGGUUGAAACUCAAAUGAAUUGACGGGG
rnacentral:rRNA from 1 species